CUCAUAUGCAGAGCAGAUCAUGAGAAGUGCUGAGCAGAAGGAAGCACAAGCUGGAAUCAAGAUUGCCGGGAGAAAUAUCAAUAACCUCAGAUAUGCAGAGGACACCACCCUUAUGGCAGAAAGUGAAGAAGGACUAAAGAGCCUCUUGAUGAAAGUGAAAGA